GACGAACGCUGGCGGCGUGCCUAAUACAUGCAAGUUGAGCGCUGAAGGUUGGUACUUGUACCGACUGGAUGAGCAGCGAACGGGUGAGUAACGCGUGGGGAAUCUGCCUUUGAGCGGGGGACAACAUUUGGAAACGAAUGCUAAUACCGCAUAAAAACUUUAAACACAAGUUUUAAGUUUGAAAGAUGCAAUUGCAUCACUCAAAGAUGAUCCCGCGUUGUAUUAGCUAGUUGGUGAGGUAAAGGCUCACCAAGGCGAUGAUACAUAGCCGACCUGAGAGGGUGAUGGGCCACAAUGGGACUGAGAAACGGCCCAAACUCCUACGGGAGGCAGCAGUAAGGAGUCAUCGGCAAUGGACGAAAGUCUGACCGAGCAACGCCGCAUGAGUGAAGAAGGUUUUCGGAUCGUAAAACUCUGUUGGUAGAGAAGAACGUUGGUGAGAGUGGAAAGCUCAUCAAGUGACGGUAACUACCCAGAAAGGGACGGCUAACUACGUG
rnacentral:rRNA from 1 species